UACCCGCGACAGGACGGAAAGACCCCGUGGAGCUUUACUGUAGCCUGAUAUUGAAAUUCGGCACAGCUUGUACAGGAUAGGUAGGAGCCUUUGAAACGUGAGCGCUAGCUUACGUGGAGGCGCUGGUGGGAUACUACCCUAGCUGUGUUGGCUUUCUAACCCGCACCACUUAUCGUGGUGGGAGACAGUGUCAGGCGGGCAGUUUGACUGGGGCGGUCGCCUCCUAAAAGGUAACGGAGGCGCUCAAAGGUUCCCUCAGAAUGGUUGGAAAUCAUUCAUAGAGUGUAAAGGCAUAAGGGAGCUUGACUGCGAGACCUACAAGUCG
rnacentral:rRNA from 1 species